AUGGAAGUGACGAUGAUUUCCCCAGAUGAUCGAAGCUGAACAUACUGUGCGACAUUUGAAUUCUCAUUUUCAUGAGAAUUCCAAGCCAGAAAUAUGAUCCAU